AGUGAACGCUGGCGGUAGGCCUAACACAUGCAAGUCGAACGGCAGCACAGUAAGAGCUUGCUCUUACGGGUGGCGAGUGGCGGACGGGUGAGGAAUACAUCGGAAUCUACUUUUUCGUGGGGGAUAACGUAGGGAAACUUACGCUAAUACCGCAUACGAACUACGGGUGAAAGCAGGGGAUCUUCGGACCUUGCGCGAUUGAAUGAGCCGAUGUCGGAUUAGCUAGUUGGCGGGGUAAAGGCCCACCAAGGCGACGAUCCGUAGCUGGUCUGAGAGGAUGAACAGCCACACUGGAACUGAGACACGGUCCAGACUCCUACGGGAGGCAGCAGUGGGGAAUAUUGGACAAUGGGCGCAAGCCUGAUCCAGCCAUACCGCGUGGGUGAAGAAGGCCUUCGGGUUGUAAAGCCCUUUUGUUGGGAAAGAAAAGCAGCAGGUUAAUACCCCGCUGUUCUGACGGUACCCAAAGAAUAAGCACCGGCUAACUUCGUG
rnacentral:rRNA from 1 species